UUUAUUGCUGAUGGGUAGGAGUAGCAUGAGACUCUUAAUCUCAGGGUUGUGGGUUCGAGCCCCAUGUUGGGCAAAA